ACGGUACCUGAAGAAGAAGCACCGGCUAACUACGUGCCAGCAGCCGCGGUAAUACGUAGGGUGCGAGCGUUAAUCGGAAUUACUGGGCGUAAAGCGUGCGCAGGCGGCUUUGUAAGACAGGUGUGAAAUCCCCGGGCUUAACCUGGGAACUGCGCUUGUGACUGCAAGGCUCGAGUGCGGCAGAGGGGGGUGGAAUUCCACGUGUAGCAGUGAAAUGCGUAGAGAUGUGGAGGAACACCGAUGGCGAAGGCAGCCCCCUGGGUCGACACUGACGCUCAUGCACGAAAGCGUGGGUAGCAAACAGGAUUAGAUACCCUGGUAGUCCACGCCCUAAACGAUGCCAACUAGGUGUUGGGGAAGGAGACUUCCUUAGUACCGUAGCUAACGCGUGAAGUUGGCCGCCUGGGGAGUACGGUCGCAAGAUUAAAACUCAAAGGAAUUGACGGGGACCCGCACAAGCGGUGGAUGAUGUGGAUUAAUUCGAUGCAACGCGAAAAACCUUACCUACCCUUGACAUGCCAGGAAUCCUGCUGAGAGGCGGGAGUGCUCGAAAG
rnacentral:rRNA from 1 species